rnacentral:rRNA from 1 species
UACGGAGGGGGCUAGCGUUGCUCGGAAUUACUGGGCGUAAAGCGCACGUAGGCGGCUUUCUAAGUCGGGGGUGAAAUCCUGGAGCUCAACUCCAGAACUGCCCUUCGAUACUGGAAAGCUCGAGUCCGGGAGAGGUGAGUGGAACUGCGAGUGUAGAGGUGAAAUUCGUAGAUAUUCGCAAGAACACCAGUGGCGAAGGCGGCUCACUGGCCCGGUACUGACGCUGAGGUGCGAAAGCGUGGGGAGCAAACAGG